UUGGAGGGCAAGUCUGGUGCCAGCAGCCGCGGUAAUUCCAGCUCCAAUAGCGUAUAUUAAAGUUGUUGCAGUUAAAAAGCUCGUAGUUGAAUUUCGGGGUUAGUAGGUUGGUCAUGCCUCUGGUAUGUACUGGUCUCACUGAUUCCUCCUUCCUGAUGAGCCGUAAUGCCAUUAAUUUGGUGUUGCGGGGAAUUUGGACUGUUACUUUGAAAAAAUUAGAGUGUUUAAAGCAAGCUAACGCUUGAAUACAUUAGCAUGGAAUAAUGAAAUAGGACGUUCGAUCCUAUUUUGUUGGUUUCUAGGAUUGACGUAAUGAUUAAUAGGGAUAGUUGGGGGCAUUAGUAUUCAAUUGUCAGAGGUGAAAUUCUUGGAUUUAUUGAAGACUAACUACUGCGAAAGCAUUUGCCAAGGAUGUUUUCAUUAAUCAAGAACGAAAGUUAGGGGAUCGAAGACGAUCAGAUACCGUCGUAGUCUUAACCAUAAACUAUGCCGACUAGGGAUCGGAUGAUGUUAAUUUUUUAAUGGCUCAUUCGGCGCCUUACGGGAAAC
rnacentral:rRNA from 1 species